GGUUUCUUCCUUUGCUUUUUUUAAGCGAAGCAGUAAAAGAUCUUUCUUCUCCUCAAUGGUCCAAUUUACAGUGGUGUAGUUUUUAGAAGAUUUCUUUUGGCCCUUUGAGGUUGUUGUUGCUGGAGUCCAGGAUCAGAAUUAUGCUGAUCUGGUGGAUUAUCCAGCUGAGUGCUGCCACAGGAGAAAUCAUUCUCCGCAGCACUGAGAGAAGUUGCACCAUUGCACUCCUCAC